ensembl:lncRNA
AACAGACAUAUGCAAAGGGGCAGACCUCUGGGCAGUCCUGGGUUAAGCUAGAGCCACCAUUGGCACAGGGAAAACAUGGACAAUGAUUGGUAGAUGUGAGAACUGAGGGGAGGGAACUUAGAUGGUUUCCUUAAAGAUAGCGAGGUCAGAGGACUAGGGGGUGGAGAGGUUUUACUCUGAGAGGUUGUGCUCUGAGAAGUUUUGCUCUGAAGGAGUCUGAGAGGAGAGAGGUCCUGGAGGGAGAGCUCCUGGAGAGGUCUGAGAGGAGGGCUUGCUCUGAAGGAGGCUGGAGGUGGAGGCCCCUGAGACUAUUUCUCCAUUUUGGUCACAUGUGUGCCACAGAAGGUAAUAGAGCGAAGGCAUAAAAAUCAGAACCAAUGAUGACAACAAGCUAUGGAUAUGAGAUAAUCAAGUCAAUGUUUCCUCUGAAUGUGGAUAGUGGUUUUUCUCAUAGACCCCUCCAAGUUGUUCAGGAUCAAUGCAUUGCCACUAAUGGAGAAGUCCAUCACCUUCGAUUGUACCACAGUGUAUCAGUCUCUGUGUACAAUGUUUUCUUGGUUCUGCUCCUUUCACUCUGCAUCAAUUUCUGGAGGUUGUUCCAGUCCCCACGGAAUUCCUCCUAGCACUCCAUCACCAACAUAUACCACAAUUUGUUCGGCCAUUCCUGAAUUGAAGGUAUCAUAGAGGUGCUGGAUUUGAGGAAGCCCAUGGAAGUAAGGAGGCCAAGACUUAUGAAAGAAAGAAGAAAAGCCCCAGGCUUAAAACAGUAUCAGUGGAAGAAGAGAAGCCAAGGAUUUCAGAUGGGAUGGAAUUUGAAGGUCAUUGGGCAGGCAGAAAAACAUCUGGUGGAGAAAACUAAUCUCCUCUGAGCAGAGCCUGCAGGGGCCAUCAUGUCAAGCUGACCAGCAUUUAGUGGAGUAUCUCCCAUCUGAAUAGUUCCCAGCAGAGGAAUAGCCAAUUGGACAGUGUGCAAGAGAGAAGUGACCAUCUGAGCAGUACUGAAAGGAUAUCAUGAGAUUGGCAGGAAGAAGACUUGUCACAUUAGCUCAUUGCCAUCACUAGGAGUCAUGGGGGGGGGGUGUCUGUGGCCUCAGAAGUGCUCAUAUCUUUUUCCUUAGAUGUUUUCCAGCCACUGAUGCUUCUUGAUUCUAUACUCCUUCAAGCAUAGCUUCUCUUCUCACUGAUUCGGUGUAAAUUUCAUGAAAUACCUUGAC